rnacentral:rRNA from 1 species
GACGAACGCUGGCAGCGUGCUUAACACAUGCAAGUCGAACGGAAAGGCCCGGCUUUUGUGGGGUGCUCGAGUGGCGAACGGGUGAGUAACACGUGAGUAACCUGCCCUUGACUUUGGGAUAACUUCAGGAAACUGGGGCUAAUACCGGAUAGGAGCUCCUGCUGCAUGGUGGGGGUUGGAAAGUUUCGGCGGUUGGGGAUGGACUCGCGGCUUAUCAGCUUGUUGGUGGGGUAGUGGCUUACCAAGGCUUUGACGGGUAGCCGGCCUGAGAGGGUGACCGGCCACAUUGGUACUGAGAUACGGCCCAGACUGCUACGGGGGGCAGCAGUGGGGAAUAUUGCACAAUGGGCGGAAGCCUGAUGCGGCAACGCCGCGUGCGGGAUGACGGCCUUCUGGUUGUAAACCGCUUUCGCCUGUGACGAAGCGUGAGUGACGGUAAUGGGUAAAGAAGCACCGGCUAACUACGUG